rnacentral:lncRNA from 1 species
UCUAGACUAGACACACUUUAAGAGGGUGUUUGGUUGGGGUAAUUAAGGUCUAGAAUGAAAAUUAAAAUAGAUGACUCCCAUUCCCCCUAUUUGGUUGGAGGGAGUCACAUUCCAAUUUCUAUUUUAUAGAGGAAUGGGAAUAAUCUAUUCCUCAUGUAACCAAAUCCAGCUUUAUUUCAAUGGAGUCAAAUCUCAUUCCAGCAGAAUGAGACAAAAAAAAACAUCUGAAUGCAGUC